CCGACUUUAGCUCAGUUGGUAGAGCGGAGGACUGUAGUUGAUAUGCAGAUUAAAUCCUUAGGUCGCUGGUUCGAAUCCGGCAGGUCGGA
rnacentral:tRNA from 2 species